CAUGCACAGUCUCCUGCACAGUGGUGUCUGUUCUGGCCCUUUAAAUUUAGCAGAUCCACACUCCCACCACGCCCAGCUGGCCCACCAGAGUGAGCCACAGGCAACACAUGUUCUAAACCAACCCUGUUCACCCUGGACCUACUAUUUUUGCACUCACCUCCCUGGUUCUCAGAUUUCUGGCUCCGGUUCCCAGCUGCCAUAGCCCCUUUGGUCCCUUCACUUUGGUGACCCUUUAGGCUUCCCUUUUUAGACCACAGCUGUCACAUGUUUCUGACUCAACUUGCUUCUGCCAUGCCAGCGUCACCCCUGGUCUCAGGUGAUUUCUUAGGCUAAUUCUCAGAGAUGGGGUUAUUGGGCCAAAAAAGCAAACUAUGGCUUUCCGAAGCUCUCAUUGUUCCCAUUAUGUCAUGCAUCCCUGAGAUGCAGUCAGCAGAGGAUUCUAUUUGAGGGACUAAACACUCCCGGGGAAAGCAGGAAGAAGGAGACGGGAACUAACAUUUGCUAUUGAGCGCCAGGCAUCGUCCUACAGGCUUCGAAGUGAACCUUGGAUGUGCUGCUGAUCUGACCUGCCCAGAUUUGUCAUCAUUGUUAUUGUCUUGGCCUCUUAUGAAGACGUUCACCCAGCAGGACUUCAGAAGCUUUGUUCACUCGAUCUCAUUUAAUCCUCACAAUAGUGCCCUAAGGAAGAUAUUAGUAUCCCCAUUUUACAAAGGAGGAAACGGGAACCUGGGGAGAUUAAGCGAAGGCCUCACAGAUCAUGAAUAGAAGAGGCUGGAAACCUAGUCUGGUUCAAGGGUGUGCUCUUUCUGCUCUGCCAUGCUGUGCUUCAGCCCUUCCCCACUCUCAGCCCCAUGUGCACGCAGAUAGGGAUUUUCACUCUUUGCCCUGUAUGAAAGGAGGGAAGGAAGCCAGGCACCCCGAAUGGAGAGACCAGCUGAAGCCGCGGCAGAAGAACAAAAAUUGUGAAGAUUUAAUGGACAUUUAUCAGUUCCCAAAAUUAAUAUUUUUAUAAUUUCUUACGCCUGUCUUUACUGCAAUCUCUGAACAUAAAUUGUGAAGAUUUCAUGGAUAUUUAUCACUUCCCCAAUCAAUACUCUUAUAAUUUCUUAUGUUUGUCUUUAAUCUCUUAAUCCCGUCAUCUUUGUAAGCUGAGGAUGUAUGUCACCUCAGGACCCUGUGAUGAUUGCAUUAACUGUACAGAUUGUAAAACGUGUGUUUGAACAAUAUGAAACCAGUGCACCCUGAAAAAGGACAGAAUAACAGUGAUUUUCAGGGAACAAAAGAGAUAAUCAUAAGGCCUGACUGCCUGCGGGGUUGGGCAGAACACAGCCAUAUUUUUCUUCUCGCAGAAAGCCUAUAGAUGGAUGUGUGAGUAGGAGAAAUAUUGCUGAAUUCUUUUCCCAGCAAGGAAUAUUAAUAAUUGAUAGCCCUGGGGAAGGAAUGCAUUCCUGGGGGGAGGUCUAUGAACGCCUGCUCUGGGAUUGUCUGUCUUAUGUGGUUGAGAUAAGGACUGAAAUACACCCUGGUCUCCCGCAGUGCCCUCAGGCUUGCUAGGAUUGGGAAAUUCCAGCCUGGUGAAUUCUAGUCAGACCGGUUGUCUGCUCUCAAACUCUCUUUCCUGUUAAGAUGUUUAUCAAGACAAUGCAUGCACAGGAGGACAUGGACCCUCAUCAGUAAUUCUAAUUUUGCCCUUGCCUUGUGAUCUUUUAUUGCCCUUUGAAGCAUGUGAUCCUUGUGACCUACUCCCUGUUCGUACAUCUACUCUCCUUCUAAAAUCCUAAUAAAAACUUGCUGGUUUUGCAGCUCAGGGUCGCCAUCACGGUCCUACCAAUAUGUGAUGGCACCCCCAGAGGCCCAGCUGUAAAACUUCUCUCUUUGUACUCCUUCUCUUUAUUUCUCAGACCGGCC
rnacentral:lncRNA from 1 species